GGAUGUGAGGGCGAUCUGGCUGCAACAUCUGUCACCCCAUUGAUGACCCGGGUUGAUUCGGCUGAUAUAACUGGCUAGGCGGGUGUCCCCUUCCUCCCUCACCGCUCCAUGUACGUCCCUCCUGAAGCUGCGUGCUCAGUCGAAGAGGAUGGCCUUAUCCGAAUUGAAAAUAGCUGCUGAUAGAUUCUAUACAUGUUUGUUAAUUGUACUUAGUAACUUCAUACACUUUAAUAUUGAUAGGAAAUUAUGGCUUUCAAAACAAAUGAGCUCUUCCAGACAAUGCAGAGAGCACAGGAGUU
rnacentral:snRNA from 1 species